UAGACUACGACGUAGAUAGGUUGGGUGUGUAAGUGUAGUGAUACAUUGAGCUAACCAAUACUAAUUGCCCGAGAGGCUUAACCAUACAACGCUCAAG
rnacentral:rRNA from 1 species